rnacentral:rRNA from 1 species
GACGAACGCUGGCGGCGUGCUUAACACAUGCAAGUCGAACGGUAAGGCCCUUCGGGGUACACGAGUGGCGAACGGGUGAGUAACACGUGGGUGAUCUGCCCUGCACUUCGGGAUAAGCCUGGGAAACUGGGUCUAAUACCGGAUAGGACUCCGGACUGCAUGGUCUGGGGUGGAAAGCUUGUGCGGUCUGGGAUGGGCCCGCGGCCUAUCAGCUUGUUGGUGGGGUGAUGGCCGACCAAGGCGACGACGGGUAGCCGGCCUGAGAGGGUGACCGGCCACACUGGGACUGAGAUACGGCCCAGACUCCUACGGGAGGCAGCAGUGGGGAAUAUUGCACAAUGGGCGCAAGCCUGAUGCAGCGACGCCGCGUGAUGGAUGACGGCCUUCGGGUUGUAAACCUCUUUCAGCAUCGACGAAGCGAAAGUGACGGUAGGUGCAGAAGAAGGACCGGCCAACUACGUGCCAGCAGCCGCGGUAA